rnacentral:lncRNA from 1 species
ACCCACCUUUUUCUGAUCUUUUGCAAUUCAAAUUCUCUCUCGUCUCCCUCUUUCCCAGAUAAUAAACUAUUGAAUAGAAGUUUUUCCAGUGUUUUCAUGCAAUACAAAAUCCCAUUUUUGUCAUGUCAUGAAAGAAGACAUAUAUCACACAUGCAAGAAAAAAACAUGAAAGAAAUAAGAGUUUAAUGAAGAGAUAUUGUUUAUAAUCAGCCUCCUUCAAGUUUUGAAAUCACAUUCUCCAUUGGUGUUUCUCCUGGCUGCUGUGUCAUUCCACUUGUCCAAGAAAUAAAGAAUCUUCUUCUUGAUUCAGGACAUUUCUCACUUGACCUCUACGUACCUUGGACUAUUGAGAUCUGCACUGGUCACAGGUUAAGGACAUUCCUAUUCUGGCUUUUCCCAGGAACCUUAUGAGGUGGGACCUAAUGCUCAUUUUUCAACUGAGGAAACUGAGGUGGAAAGAGGUCAAGUAACUCAUCCAGAGUCACCCAGCUAGUAAGCGUCUGAGGUAAGAUUUGUACUCCCAUUUUCCUGAUUGUAG